GGCCGAGGCCAGCUGGUGUGAAUGCCUCCUCCACAGUCAGACCAAGUGCAUCUGCUUAGGGUCCAGGCCACCAUCCUGCAGGCUCUCCUCUUCUGCCUGUGGGCUGGAUCCGCUUGCUAAUCUGAGGGAGGAGCUGGAGCUGAAGCUGGGCCAGACCCCUUCCUCAAUGUCACCAAGGAGAGAAUAGGUGACAUGUGACUGUCAGUCCUUGCACUAAGCUGAUGGCAGGAUGGAGCAGACCCUCCAUACUUCAGAGGAGGCUGGUGAUGGAUGUGCUGCCCCGACUGGACGGGCUCCACAGUCUGUCUUCCCACCACUGAGUGG